rnacentral:misc_RNA from 1 species
UACAGGGCAAUAUGCACG